CCUACGGGUGGCAGCUGUGGGGAAUAUUGGACAAUGGGCGAAAGCCUGAUCCAGCCAUGCCGCGUGUGUGAAGAAGGCCUUCGGGUUGUAAAGCACUUUCAGUGGGGAAGAAAGCCUUGGGGCUAAUACCCUCGAGGAAGGACAUCACCCACAGAAGAAGCACCGGCUAACUCCGUGCCAGCAGCCGCGGUAAUACGGAGGGUGCGAGCGUUAAUCGGAAUUACUGGGCGUAAAGCGCGCGUAGGCGGUCUGAUAAGCCGGUUGUGAAAGCCCCGGGCUCAACCUGGGAACGGCAUCCGGAACUGUCAGGCUAGAGUGCAGGAGAGGAAGGUAGAAUUCCCGGUGUAGCGGUGAAAUGCGUAGAGAUCGGGAGGAAUACCAGUGGCGAAGGCGGCCUUCUGGACUGACACUGACGCUGAGGUGCGAAAGCGUGGGUAGCAAACAGGAUUAGAUACCCGUGUAGUC
rnacentral:rRNA from 1 species